CGUGGAGACAGGUGGUGCAUGGCUGUCGUCAGCUCGUGUCGUGAGAUGUUGGGUUAAGUCCCGCAACGAGCGCAACCCUCACCUCUUGUUGCCAUCAGGUCGUGCUGGGCACUCUAGAGGAACUGCCCCGGUCAACGGGGAGGAAGGCGGGGAUGACGUCAAGUCAUCAUGCCCCUUACGUCCUGGGCUACACACGUGCUACAAUGGCCGGUACAAAGGGAUGCCACACCGCGAGGUAGAGCUAAACCCAAAAAGCCGGUCUAAGUUCAGAUUGGAGUCUGCAACUCGACUCCAUGAAGGAGGAAUCGCUAGUAAUCGCGUAUCAGCACGACGCGGUGAAUACGUUCCCGGGCCUUGUACACACCGCCCGUCACACCACGAAAGUCUGCUGUACUCGAAGUCGCUGAG
rnacentral:rRNA from 1 species